rnacentral:rRNA from 1 species
GAUGAACGCUGGCGGCAUGCCUUACACAUGCAAGUCGAACGGCAGCACGGGUGCUUGCACCUGGUGGCGAGUGGCGAACGGGUGAGUAAUAUAUCGGAACGUACCUUAUUGUGGGGGAUAACGCAGCGAAAGCUGUGCUAAUACCGCAUAAUCCCUAAGGGGGAAAGCGGGGGACCGUAAGGCCUCGCGCAAUUAGAGCGGCCGAUACCUGAUUAGCUAGUUGGUGAGGUAAAGGCUCACCAAGGCAACGAUCAGUAGCUGGUCUGAGAGGAGGAUCAGCCACACUGGGACUGAGACACGGCCCAGACUCCUACGGGAGGCAGCAGUGGGGAAUUUUGGACAAUGGGGGCAACCCUGAUCCAGCAAUGCCGCGUGAGUGAAGAAGGCCUUCGGGUUGUAAAGCUCUUUUGUCAGGGAAGAAACAGCAGCUCUAACACAGUUUGCGAAUGACGGUACCUGAAGAAUAAGCACCGGCUAACUACGUGCCAGCAGCCGCCGUAA